AGCAGCCGCGGUAAUUCCAGCUCCAAUAGCGUAUAUUAAAGUUGUUGCAGUUAAAAAGCUCGUAGUUGAAUUUCGGGAUCAAUAUGUUGGUCGUGCCUCGGUACGUACUGGCAUCGUUGAUUUCUACCUUCUGAUGAACCAUGAUGCCAUUAAUUUGGUGUUAUGGGGAAUCAGGACUGUUACUUUAGAAAAAUUAGAGUGUUUAAAGCAGGCUCACGCUUGAAUACAUUAGCAUGGAAUAAUGAAAUAGGACGUUUGAUUCUAUUUUGUUGGUUUCUAGGAUCGACGUAAUGAUUAAUAGCGAUAGUUGGGGGCAUUAGUAUUCAAUUGUCAGAGGUGAAAUUCUUGGAUUUAUUGAAGACUAACUACUGCGAAAGCAUUUGCCAAGGAUGUUUUCAU
rnacentral:rRNA from 1 species